AUAGUGAACCACAUUCUAAAAUGAAAAUGAGCAUAAUCAUACUUUUUUAUAAUUUCUCAUAAAACAAUUUGCUAUUGAAAAAACUGCCUUGCUGCAACUAUAAAUUUAAAAAUAAGAAAUAAAAAUUUUAAAAUUAAUUUUGUACGAAGUAAUUUUGCACUAAUUAGACUCGCCAUGUGGAAUUAAAAGAUAAAGAAUAAAUAAUUAAAAAUUAUAUAUAUAACUUUCUAUAAAAAAAAAAUAAUAAUGAAUCAAAAAAGGAAAA
rnacentral:misc_RNA from 1 species